CACGUGGGGCGCAAGCGUUGUCCGGAAUUAUUGGGCGUAAAGCGCUCGUAGGCGGUCUGUUGCGUCUGAUGUGAAAGCUCGGGGCUUAACCCCGAGCCUGCAGUGGAUACUGGCAGACUAGAGGUAGGUAGGGGAGAAUGGAAUUCCCGGUGUAGCGGUGAAAUGCGCAGAUAUCGGGAGGAACACCGGUGGCGAAGGCGGCAUCCUGGACCGAUAUUGACGCUGAGGAGCGAAAGCCAGGGGAGCAAACGGG
rnacentral:rRNA from 1 species